GCCUUCGUAGUGUAACGGUAGCACACUCGGUUCGUAUUCGAGAGGGCCAGAUUAGAGUUCCGGCGAGGGCA
rnacentral:tRNA from 1 species